UUAGAAAGGAAAUAAAUGGUGGUCCUAGUAUGAAAUCCCUACCCCUAUAACUAAGCGAAAUAUACUGGUUCCGGCGGUUCCGCUUUUUAGUAAUGCCGACAGAACAGUGCAUUCGAGAAUAAUGGCGCCAAAAACGGAACCAUGGACACGUCAAGUGGUAAUGGCGAAUGAGCUGCUUCUCUGAGUUACAGUCACUGAUUUCCAGUUAGAAGUGUUAUGCCUCAUUGGUGAAUACCGCCAAACUCAAAAUCUAGGUAAAAUCACGAUAACACCCUUGGCAAAUGCUGUAAAUAACAUUUUUGUUGGCAAUGAAAUGGAGGUAAUUACAGAAGAUGUAGAGGUGUUUUGGGGCUUCUCUGCGAAAAUAAAACCACCAAAGGUAAA